rnacentral:rRNA from 1 species
UACGUAGGGGGCAAGCGUUGUCCGGAAUCAUUGGGCGUAAAGCGCGUGUAGGCGGUUCGGUAAGUCGGCUGUGAAAGUCAAAGGCUCAACCUUUGAAAGCCGGUGGAUACUGGAUGGCUAGAGUACGGAAGAGGCGAGUGGAAUUCCUGGUGUAGCGGUGGAAUGCGCAGAUAUCAGGAGGAACACCAAUAGCGAAGGCAGCUCGCUGGGACGUUACUGACACUGAGGCGCGAAAGCGUGGGGAGCGAACAGG